rnacentral:rRNA from 1 species
CCUACGGGUGGCAGCAGUGGGGAAUAUUGCACAAUGGGGGAAAGCCUGAUGCAGCGACGCCGCGUGGGUGAGGAAGUUUUUCGGUAUGUAAAGCUCUGUUAGCAGGGAAGAAGAAUGACGAUACUUGAAGUAGAAGCUCCGGCGAAAUACGUGCCAGCAGCCGCGGUAAUACGUGGGCUGCAAGCGUUAUUCGGACUUACUGGGCGUAAAGGGAGCGCAGGCGGUUCUGGAAGUCUGAUGUGAAAGCCCGGGGCUUAACCGCUGGACUGCAUUGGAAACUGCGGGACUGGAGUGUUGGAGGGGUGAGCGGAAUUCCAGGUGUAGCGGUGAAAUGCGUAGAUAUCAGGAGGAACACCGGUGGCGAAGGCGGCUUACUGGACGAUGACUGACGCUGAGGUUCGAAAGCGUGGGGAGCAAACAGGAUUAGAUACCCCAGUAGUC